UGUACUUGAGGAAAGGAGCAAACACGAGUGUCCGCACGGUUCCCGGCUCCUACUAGUCACUUCGGGGAAAUGCGCGAGGACGGGGCACACACGGAGUCCAGUUCCACCCCCGGGAGAUUAGCUGGGUUCCUGGCAGGACUCGGACGGCCGCCUCCAGGGCAGGAUCUAAAGAGCCUUCAGUAAAGAGCUAUUGUUAAGGUGUUUCCAGAAUCUUAUACCCAAGGGCCAUCCUGAGAUGUGAGCUCCAGUUGAUCAGCAAAGGGCCCUGACUGCCUUUAUGUUCAUCCCAUGGCGCAAUUCAUGCCACCUCUCUUGGCAGCAUUGUCACAAAGCGGCUGCCCCGUCAAAUCCCAAGUGAGGUUGAGGCCUCCUCUCUUCCCCAAGCCUGAGCCUGGGCCCCAAACCCCGAACCCCAGUUUAAGAGAAGACGGUAGACGCCCUUCGUGAUGGGCGAACGGGCAGGUGUGAUUUCUCCUGGCCCUCUGAACUCCCUGUGUGGGGCAUGGCUACCUAGCACGCAGUACUUUAUAUAAACCCUGCUCCCCCUCCCUCCCUCCACCGCGCCCCCAUUCAUUCCCCAGAGAGAGUGGAAGCAGGAGGUAUAUACAUGAGACUAUAAAUUGAACUAAAUCAAAGACAGGCCUUGGGUAAUGAGGCAGCUGGGAGCCCCAGGGAACCUCAGAAGUGUCCAGAAUGCAUGAGACGUUUGUAAGAACUGAAAGGCCCAAGUCUCCCAAGAGGGGAGGCCAAAUGGCCCCAACCUGAGAGCAAUAAUGAAGGAGAAAAUCAGGUAAAGGAGAGAUAAAGGGCAAUACAUCUGGGUAGCCGAUGCCGGAGGGCUUUUUGAAGGGAAGCCCGAGGCAGAAACACAGGGAGAAGAGAGGCAGCUCCUCAAACUCCCCAGUUGCCCACAGCAACCCGCUUCCUGGCGGUCAUUUACAUAAUGUUGCAAUUGUCACUGCCGCCCGCCUGCUCCUGCAAAGGGAGGCCCCGCAUCAGAGGACACACUAUAACCGCGCAGGUUCAUUCAACUCUCAUUAACCACUGGCCAAAUAAAACCCACUUAAUCACCUACUUAACUUGGACGUGGAGUACAGAGGCCUAUUUUGUUUGGAAGGAGCUUCCGAGGAGCAGCUGGCCACACCCCACACCCUCACGGCCGCAGGGCUGGCCUGCGCCCAUGGGCAUGGGCCCUCCUCGAGCCCCAGGGAAGGCGGGCAGCGCCCCGCAGGGUGGCCACUCGCUCGGGCUCUGGGCGGAGCACGCCAACAACGCCGAGCCUCCCUUUCCCCUCCUGUAAAAUGAGGAGAAGAGAGAAUCCAACGUGUAAGACCGUGGUGAGGAUUAAGUGAGAUGAUGCGAACGUCCUGGCACAUUCCAUCAACACGAAUGGCCAGUACCUUGAUUAUUGGUGCCACUCCUGUCACCGUGACGCCAGGCCACGACUCUAAAGACAGUACUUUCAUGUCCAAGAUAACACUCAUCUGAGGAACGGAUUUAACUCCUCUGCCUGAAUCUACUGGUGCCCUCAAACAGCUUAACUGAGCUUUUCUGGAUAUUAACACAGCCUGCUGGCCAAGAUAACCACAUCCGAGGGCCAGAUUUGGCCAAAUGACUGCAUAUGAGAGGCAGCGAGGCAUUCUAUGAUCCAGUUUCAAUUCACGAAAUAGGGAACAAAGAAGAUCUUCACUGGGAAGAGUUCCCUCUGGGUCAACACACACACAAACACAUGUUAUUCUGUAAUGGGAGCUGUUGCCUGCUUCUAUUAGUGUGUGCACAAUAUGAGUGUUCCUUAGGUAAGUAGAAGACCUUUGAAUCAGGGAAAUCAAAUUUCUCUUCUGUCUCUUACUUUCAUCAUCCUACCAUACAACUGUUUUUUUCAAGUUCAUGCUAUGGUCCUAAAUGGCUACCAGAGCUCCAGCCAUCACAACUAACAUCCCAGGCAUUAGGAUAUGUGCAAAAGGUAGGUGGUAGUAUGCAAUGGUCACUCACCUGGUGAUCUCUGCCCUAGUAGAAGGAGCCUGAGGCCAGAGCUCCUUCUCACCUUUACAACUGCAGUGGCCUAACUAGCUUCCUCCCUCCAGCGUCUUUUUCCAAUCUAUGCUCCACAGCACUGACUGCAGACUCAAGUCCAUCUACACUUUCCUACUCCCACCUGCGCAGAAGUUGUCCCCCAACAGGAACUCUCUUCUCCUUCACCUCUGAAGGUCAAAUUCUCACCAUCGUCUCCAAUGACACUUGCCUGAUCAGAAGUGUCACCUGAGACUUAGUAAAGACACCGCUUCCUGCCUUAGACUACUGAAUUGGAAUCUCCAUGACAGGAGCCUGGGAAUCAUUGUUCCCAAAAACUCCGGCUUAAAUCCUACGUCCUUCCUGAAGUCUUCCUAAAGUCUUCCCAAAUCAACUGGAGUCCGUGUGUCCUCCCUGUAUUCUGAGGGUGGUUCUGAGAAAUAACGUCGCAACGCAAACAGCGCCCUCCAUGUAGCAAAUGGUCAAUACAUGUUAACUAUUGAUCGCUUGUCUAGUUACCGUCCUUUCCAAGCAAGUUAAUCAUAGCACCUCUUCCACUCAACGCUUAGCUAUUGCAUCAAAUCAAAGAGGCUGUAUUUUCUGACAUUUGCUUGUGGAUCCAGAAUAAUUUUUAUAUUUAUAUCACUGAUAGCAGUUCAAAGUUCCCUACUUCUCUCCUAUUCCACUUUUAUAAGACUGUUUCUAUGAUGAAGGUCAAAUAUCGUCCCUUAAAAAAUUAUAUGAGCAAAUAUAUGGACUUGUUAUCAUCGUAAAGGACACCUGAAUGACAGGUAAGGUGAAGUUUGUCCUGAAUUACUCUCUCCCCAUCCCAAUCUUCUCCAAACACUACUAUCACUAGACUAACUCAUAUAAAAUUGCCAAUAUGCUAACGUGUUUAGUCCAUAAAAUAAUCUUAUAGAUUCCCUUAACAGAUCGAUGCAUAUCCUUUCAGAAUGCUCUCCUAUGCUCACUAGGUUUGGUAGUUUCAAAAUAUGGCUAUAAAUUCUUUGAUGCCCCUGCCAUUAAGAGGUAGAGUCUACAUCCUGGAUGGACUUGCUGCAGCUUAGAUGAAAAAGUUUUCGUUAUUCACGCUGUGUAACUUGCAAGGCUAGGUCAUGAGGGACCGCGAGGCUUUGCUUAUUGGCUGGAACACUCACCCUUGGAGCCCUAAAGCCACCAUGCAUGUAGGUAAGGUUGCCAUGUUGUGAGGAACCCAAAGCCACAUGAAAAAGCUAUAGGAAAUCAGAAUAUGCCACCCUAAAACACACCCCUUUGAAGACAACUGAGAAAUAGCAGACGUGCCUGCACACAAAAGCUCUCUGCUUUCCCUUCCAUCUGCAAAAACAACAGGCUCAGACUCCUAAUCCCCAGACACAACUCUAAGUUUACUAAAAUAGCCCUUAUUAUGUCUCAUUAGUUUCCCAUACAUAUUUCCCUCCCCCACCAGUAUGUCACGCCUGAAAGUCUAAAAACUUCCUUGUCCUUCAUCUUGUCACUGCCAUACAAAUUUACUGUUCAUUAGGAUGCUAUGUAAGCCCCAAGCUCUAUCUAAAUGCCCCUUAGAGUUAAUAGUCACUGAGCUCCUCCCACGUGUAUGCUCACUGCAUGUGUUCAUAAACUCUAUUUUUCUCUUGUUAAGCUGUGUUUUGUAAGUUGAGUCUGCAGGGCCCUCAGCCAAUGAACCUAGGAGGGUAGAGAGAAAAGAGCUUUUCCUCCCCUGCAAGGCCAUGUGUACAUGCUCCAGCCCCUUCAGUUGGGCUCCAACCCACCAAAACCCAGCCUUUGAGUUAUUCUCAAUGCUCUCACAUCCAUCCCAAUAUGUGAAUGAAAACACUUCCAGAUGAUUCCAGCCCCCAGCCAGAGUCCAGCAUAGCCUUGCAAGUCUUCUGACCUGAAGCCCCCGAUACUGUGAAGCAGAAGCAAUCACUGUCUAGACCCUUUAUCUAUAGACUCCGUGAGCAUAAUAAAAUGGAUUUUCCUAGGCCACAAUAUUUUAGAUGCUUUGUUAUAAAGCAAUAGAUAACUGCAAUAGCAGGAAAGUACCCCUGGAGCAUACAGCUUAUAGGAAUUCAACUACGAAGAUUCCUAAAGAAAGAGAAAAGUAAUUUUUAAAGAUCCUACUUAAACCGAGCAGGUGACUCCACUCAAUGGUGGUUAUAUACAAUGAGCAUGUGCCUAGACAAGAGUGAGAAUGAACUGGGAGAUGUGGAUCCUACUCCGGUGGUUCUCAGGCAGGGGAGGUACUGCCCCCUAGGGGGCAUUUAGAAAUAUCUGGAAGAAUGUUUCCUUGCGCAAUGAAGGGAGGGGAUGGUAAGCAUCCAAGGCAGUGAGGCAAGGAUGCUCGAUACGCAUCCUGCACAGGGUCACCCAACAUCCACUGUCCUGACCUAAUGUUUCCAUGCUCCUGCUGGGAAACACUGUAUGGUCUCAGCUUCGGAGGGCCUGUCACGGUGUGAGCAUAUUUAUUUUUGCUUGAAUAGGGUGGCCCCAAAAUGCAAGCUGCCAUCCUCAGUUUGGAAGAAAUUGCCUGGAGAAACAGUAAUCUGCUCCAACACAACGGGAAAUAAUACAGAGCUGCAUUUGACUUAGUAAAGACGAACUGUCUGACUCCAACGUGGUUCUGUCUCAAGGGAUUUUAGAAAUAAAUUUUGCCUGCAUCCAAUUGCCACCUUGCUCACGGACCUGUCUAGAACCUCAUUCCCAAGAGACAUUCAGGUCUACUAGAGGGAAAUAUAAAGAUUCUAUAAAUACAAAUGCACAGAAAUGUCUAAAUUUUGUGGGAUUUGCCUUUAAAUUAUAAACAGUGUAGACUAGUCAUAUUAUUUCUAAAUGUUUUUAAAAACUAAAAAUAUGUUUUAGAAAUGUUGUUAUUAUGUCAGUCUACAAGGAUCUAUUACACUGGGUACUCUGUAGUUAAUUUACACAUUUACAUAUUGAUGGACAUUCCGUUGUUGCUUUUCUUCCCUAGUCUUUUUGCAAACACAAAUAAUACAUUGGAGAAAAUCCUUGUCCUUGAAUAUUUGACUCAUCUGAAUGCAUAUCCUUAGGACAGGUACCCCAGUGAGGAAUUGCUAGGAUGACUAUUUACAACCUUAAGAGAGCCUGCCAUAUUGCCCUACAAAGCGAUUGAACCAAUUUCCAUUCUCCCAUAAGUAUUUGAAGAUAUCCUGAUUGUCUCUGGAUUUUUCCUGGGCAGUUAUUCAAAGGUCCCAGGAAGAGAGGUCAGGGCAAUUUAUUUAUCUGUCAUAUCAGGCAGAGAGUGAAAGAAUUAGUCCCAAUGAAUUGAAUUCAGCAAGUAUUUAGUGUCUCCUCUAAAGCAAGCACAUUGCUGGAGGGAUCCCUAAGAGAGCUAGCUCGGUGCCUACACUUGAAGAGUUCACAGUCUCUUCCACAGACAGAUUUCAGACUUCUGGCAUUAGAACUGGAAUAGGCCAAUACAGAAGUUCUUGGUUCUGGACCUCUGAAGAGGGGGAGAUGGCAUGAGUCUAUCGGGCCAUGAAGCUUUCUGAAAGAAGGUAUGCCCUGAAAUGCAUUUGAAAAAUGUGCCCUUUAGUCACUUAAAGAGAAUUCUGAAUGGGAAGGGGACACAGAAACAAAUGGCAAGAGAGAGGAUGCAGAAGUAGGUCAGGGGGGAGAUGGCACAUGGAGAUGCAUGUGGCACACUGUGGGGGGCAGAUGCCAUCUUGGCUUCCAUCCUGCUAACAGAGGGUGAGAAGGGAAGAAAUGGAAGCGCUUGGUGAAAGGCAGGCAAGUUCUUGCAUAUCAAAGAAUAUGCAUAGCCAACACUGAAUAACAAGACAUAUCUAGUUCAUAGAGAUAACUGAAAAAGAUUAUUCCAUAAAUUGCAUCUUUAUUGAUUUUAAUAGCACAGAAAAAUGAAUUUUACAAAGUACAUUACACAGCACUUAUUUGUAAAUCGAUGCAAAAAUUGCACAAAUAUGUUGGACAGCUACUCAACCAGGAGAUACAAGGUUGAGGA